UACGGGGGGGGCAAGCGUUGUUCGGAAUUACUGGGCGUAAAGGGCCAGUAGGCGGCCAACUAAGUCCGACGUGAAAUCCCAAGGCUUAACCUUGGAACUGCGUCGGAUACUGGAUGGCUUGAAUUCGGGAGAGGGAUGCAGAAUUCCAGGUGUAGCGGUGAAAUGCGUAGAUAUCAGGAGGAACACCAAUGGCGAAGGCAGCACUCUGGGACGUGACUGACGCUGAGACGCGAAAGCGUGGGGAGGCA
rnacentral:rRNA from 1 species